rnacentral:tRNA from 1 species
GGACCAUUAGCUCAGUUGGUUAAAGCCAACCGCACGGUUAGUUCACAGGUCCGAGUCCUGUAUGAUCCA